GUUUUUUUAUUAUUAUUAUUAUUAUUAUUCUAAACUUAAGGUACAUAAAUCAAUAUUGAAAAAUAUCAUUUGGAUUGAGUAAUUGUAAGUUUAUUUAACUAUAACAUGUAAUCAAUUGAGUGAUAUCACAAAAGAUAACACAGGUGAUGCAGCAAAAAAUGAUCAAACCAUCAUUACAGUCUAAUGUGUGGAAAUGCUUUGAACUCUGCAAAGACCUGUGACCAUAUAGUGGGAUAAAUACCCAGGUAUUUAUUUCUGAGUCGACUUGAAUUUUUGGUGACAGAUGUCUUAGAUCAAUUUUAGGUCAGUGAAUCGGGUAGUUCAAAAUGAACCAAUAUAGACUAUGAAUCGUCUCAGAAACCACAAAUUAUAAAGUUAAUCAAAUUUGUGUUCAAAUGAAUCAUUACACCCCUACUAAACUGAUAAUUCAUCAAUAUUUUUAAUGUCUUUAGGUUUGUGGGUCAUUUCAAAAUUGGAAAACAUUCUACAUCCUAUCCUUCAUAUCUAAAAAAAAAAA